GUGGGGAAUUUUGGACAAUGGGCGCAAGCCUGAUCCAGCCAUGCCGCGUGAGUGAAGAAGGCCUUCGGGUUGUAAAGCUCUUUCGGUGGGGAAGAAAUUGCACGGGCGAAUACCCUGUGUAGAUGACGGUACCUGGAGAAGAAGCACCGGCUAACUACGUGCCAGCAGCCGCGGUAAUACGUAGGGUGCGAGCGUUAAUCGGAAUUACUGGGCGUAAAGCGUGCGCAGGCGGUUGGGUAAGUCAGAUGUGAAAUCCCCGGGCUCAACCUGGGAACUGCAUUUGAGACUGUCCAGCUGGAGUUUGGCAGAGGGGGGUGGAAUUCCACGUGUAGCAGUGAAAUGCGUAGAGAUGUGGAGGAACACCGAUGGCGAAGGCAGCCCCCUGGGCCAAUACUGACGCUCAUGCACGAAAGCGUGGGGAGCAAACAGGAUUAGAAACCCCUGUAGUCC
rnacentral:rRNA from 1 species